UCCAAACCGAACCAUCCAAACCCAUGGGUUAGUUGGGUUAAUUUUCAAUUGACCCGUUUAUAUUGGGUUGGGUCAGAGUUUACCUAUUUAAAACCCUAACCCAACCCAACCCGAUCUAACUAUUAUAAAAGAGUAAAUUAAUAUAUAGUAGUAGUAUUAAGUCUUGCAUCUAAUUGGUUGUUAAACUCCAAUCUAGCUAGGAAGUUAAUAAGGUCUGUUAUUAGAUGUGAUAAUCAAUCCAUAUAAAUAAUAUGGUCACUCUUUUAGUAUAGCACAUUCAGAUAUACCUUUCAUAUUGAGGAUCUUUAUGUUUUGAUAUUUGAUU
rnacentral:lncRNA from 1 species